rnacentral:lncRNA from 1 species
CAGCAGGGAAGUGACUGACUGCAGACAGCACUGUUUAAGUGGCUUAUUAACUUAUGUUUAUAACUCUCACAGUCUCACCUUACCAUCAGGCUUUAAUACAGGCUAACUGGGCUAGAGCCACUCUGUCACGAUAAUUGGUUCAAGGACAAUUUUUUUUGAUGAAAGGUAGAUUAGCUUAGAAUAUAACAUACUGGGCUUGGUUUUGAGAAGACUAAUGCACAAAUCUCUAUUCAGACACUUAUUCAUUGUGCAAUCCUAGUAUAAGGAUUUUAUAACUUUCCCUCCCCAUUAAACAAGCCCCAAGGAAACUCAAACACCCCUUGACAGGGACUCUCUCACCUUGUCAGAGAAAGGCUAGGAGAAUGGGCCCAGAACCUAUUCCAGUCCCCAACAGGGCAGCAGGGAGUUUGCAUACCAAGUAGUUUCCAAUUCCCUAGGAUUCUUUCUUCCCCUCUCUUGCAUAAAUCAGCAACAAUAUCUAGGUCAAGGUAGUUCAUAUCCUUCUCACAAUAGAGAAGGGGGUCCUGUUAGACCUAAAUAAGAAUGCUCUAAAAAGUUAAGAUUGUAUUGCUCUAGGAGAGAAGAGGAGAGAGGAUGCUCCAUUCUAUCCUGUGUCCUAGUAGGAUUCUCAUUUUCUCCUAGUGCCAAAUGGACCUGCUUCAUCGCUUUUCCUCAUGUCCCUGCAUUUUGUAACCUGGUCCUGCUGCUCCUCACGUACAAUUCUCCAAUCUCAUCUCAAUGUACAUCCCAGGGCAAGUUGGCAAAUCUUCUACAGUUUAUAUACUAUAACUAUUUUGAAGUAGAAUAAGGGGGAAAGGCUACACCCACACCUCCAUGGUAGAGAGAAGAAUAUAAUAUCAUUCGGUGAGUUAUUAAAUGGAUUUGCUCCUGAAACCUGUUUUCAACAUGUAAAUAUCUUGCUUUCUCCCCCUUCAUUUUAAAAUCACUUUGUAGUUCACACUUUCAGACGUAGCAGGUUGUAUGCCUCCAAGUUCUUAAUAAACUUUAAAAAGUUUCCCA